CAACCCUCAAGCCUGGCUUGGUGUUGGGGCACUGCUUUUUCCGAAGAGCAGGCCCUGAAAUAUAGUGGCGAGCUCGCCAGGACUCCGAGCGUAGUAGUUAAACCCUCGCUCUGGAAGGCCUGGCGGUGCCCUGCCGUUAAACCCCAACUCUUGAAA
rnacentral:misc_RNA from 1 species